rnacentral:tRNA from 1 species
GCGGGUGUAACUCAGUUGGUAGAGUAUCAGCUUCCCAAGCUGAGGGUCGCGGGUUCGAGUCCCGUCACCCGCUCAA